GAUGAACGCUGGCGGCGUGCUUAACACAUGCAAGUCGAACGGAGUACAUCAACCGAGACCUUCGGGUCUCACCUGUUGUACUUAGUGGCGGACGGGUGAGUAACGCGUGAGCAACCAACCUCAUACAGAGGGAUAACAAUUAGAAAUGAUUGCUAAUACCACAUAAGACCACGGGAUCGCAUGUUCCAGUGGGAAAAACUCCGGUGGUAUGAGACGGGCUCGCGUUCGAUUAGCUAGUUGGUGAGGUAACGGCCCACCAAGGCGACGAUCGAUAGCCGGACUGAGAGGUCGACCGGCCACAUUGGGACUGAGACACGGCCCAGACUCC
rnacentral:rRNA from 1 species